GAUGAACGCUGGCGGCGUGCCUAAUACAUGCAAGUCGAGCGAACAGACCAGGCGCUUGCUCCUCUGACGUUAGCGGCGGACGUGUGAGUAACACGUGGAUAACCUACCUAUCAGACUGGGAUCACUUCGGGAAACCGGAGCUAAUACCGGAUAAUCUAUUGAACCGCAUUGUUCAAUAGUGAAAGACGGCUUUGCUGUCACUUCUAGAUGCAUCCGGGCCGCAUUAGCUGGUUGGUAAGGUAACGGCGUACCAAGGCGACGAUGCGUAGCCGACCUGAGAGGGGGGUCGGCCACACUGGAGCUGAGACACGGUCCAGACUCCUACGGGAGGCAGCAGACGGGAACCUUCCGCAAUGGGCGAAAGCCUGACGGAGCAACGCCGCGUGAGUGAUGAAGAUCUUCGGAUCGGAAAACUCUGUUAUUAGGGAAGAACAAAUGUGUAAGUAACUAUGCACGUAUUGACGGUAACUAAUAAGAAAGCAACGGCUAACUACGUG
rnacentral:rRNA from 1 species